rnacentral:rRNA from 1 species
UACGGAGGGUGCAAGCGUUAUCCGGAUUUACUGGGUUUAAAGGGUGUGUAGGCGGGCUUUUAAGUCAGUGGUGAAAUCUCCGGGCUCAACCUGGAAACUGCCAUUGGUACUAUUAGUCUUGAAUUUUGUUGAGGCAGGCGGAAUAAGUCAUGUAGCGGUGAAAUGCAUAGAUAUGACUUAGAACACCAAUUGCGAAGGCAGCUUGCUAAACAAAUAUUGACGCUGAGGCACGAAAGCGUGGGUAGCAAACAGG